rnacentral:lncRNA from 1 species
CUCAUGUGAACGGAUGAGGAGGCAAAUAAAUCAUGUCAGGGCAAUAAUUCACACUCUCAUGUAAAGGGAAACCAACAAGACAUCAGAACUGAUCAAUCUGGCAACCAAUUAUGACAUCAAGGAGUCUGAUGGGGAAGCUUGGCUCCUACCUGUCGGCAAGGAGAUCGUAAGCAGUAAGUAGGGAGGAAGAAGGUAGAUAGGGCUGUGAGGUUGCUCAGUGGCUAGAGCUCUGGGCUCUGGAUGAGGAAGACUCAUCUUCAUGAGUUCAAAUACAGCCUCGGAUACCAGCUGUGUGUCCCUAGUACCCUCAAUGUGUGGAAUCCCAGGGUAGGUAAGCCUACCCUGGGGUGAAGAGACAAGAAAGACUGACAGGGAUCUGUUGAAGUUAGUAAAACAGAUUAUACAAUAUCUACAAUGCAAAAACAAGCACAAGUCAGUUGUCUCCAAUUCCAACUGGGCAGAAAGUUUUCAACAGAAAAUCAAGUCGUCUUCUUUAUCUGAUUCUGCUCCAUGGUUGAUAUACCGUAAGGCUCUAGUCACAUUUGGAUAUUUUGAUCUUGUUUUUGUUUUAGUUCCUUUCCUUGUAUCCUUGGUGCUUAGCACAGUGCCUGACGUAGUAAGUGCUUAAUAGAUAAAUAAAUUAAAUAAACAAAUAAAUCUUAAUUAAUUA